rnacentral:lncRNA from 1 species
AGGUAAUUCACAAGAAAACAUAUCUAUUCUCACUUCCUUGUGCUACAUUUAAUAAUUCUCGCUUCAGUCGAUGAGUCGAUCUCACGAGAUAAUCAUAAGCAACCUGUCCCCACGGAUACUCAUUAGCCUUCUUCACGUCGUCCAUCAAUUGCAUAUACCCUGAUUCAAGUGUCGAACUAUCCAAGUUAUACAUCAAGAACAGUCCGUAUAAGAUUAAUAAAUAGGCUAAUUUCAGACUAUUGGGAGAAUUCCCUCCAGUUUCACCACAUUCCUCACGAAAUUUUUCUUCUAUAUCAGCUAUUAUCAAAAGCCUGCGGGAUUCAAACACGUCCCGAUGAAAUUCUUAUUCUCUUGGAAGUACCAAAUUGCCGCUAAAUUUCAAGUCCGUCAUUACACAAAAGUCGGCUCGUCCGAAUUCAAAACUACGGUCUCCAAACUUAAACAACAAUGUAUUUCUAUCAAGGCUACUUGAGUGUAGCCUCCUACAUAGAGGUAUCAAAUGGGCCGGGUCGGGCUAGCCCGGCCCGGACCCACCGGGCUUUUGACUAUUACCGGGUCGGGCUGGCCCGGCCCGAAAUCAUAUCGGGCUGCCAAAUUCUAGGCCCAACCCAGCCUCUAUCGGGUCAUCGGGCGGUCGGGCCAAAUCGGCCCAUUAUUAAUUUUUUUUUCUAAAAUCUUAUUUUUUGUUAUAAAAAUAAUAAAAAAUAUAAUAAUUGAAAAACUAUGCGUAUCUACAACUUCCGUUAUGUGUUCUAAAAUAUUUUUCUUUUGGUUAUUAUGUCUAUGUGUAGCAAUCUUCGUAUUUGAUUAAUGGGCCGCAUAUCAGAAUGGUUUCUCGUCCUAAUUGAUUUCACAACUUUAUUCACCAACUAAUAAAUUAGAUAUUGCAAACUAAAAAGUAAAUAAAUAAAAUAUUGCUGCGCACUUGUGUUUGUAAAUGGGUUCAGAUACAUAAGCAUUCAUCAGAUACCUCAUGAUUAUAGAUUAGUUCGACUCAAUUUUACAAUCUUGCACAGUUGCACUUGUAAUACGGGUCUCUUUUCUCAUUAAUCAUAUUAAAUCAUACAUUUAACAUCGACAAAUAUUAAAUAAUUAAUUAUAUAUAUUAUGUCUAUGUGUAGUAAUCUUCAUCUUGAUUACCUAAUGUGAUUAGUGGUUCAAAUCUGUGUAGUUACAUAUUUCUAACUAGAUUUAGUUACUUUUUAUCAUUUAAUUUUAAAAUUUAUUACUUUUAAAAUAUAUAUAAUUUAAAUAAAAAAUAGUUAAUUUCGGGCUGGCUAAAAAGCCCGAAAACCCCGGGCUUUUUAGCCCGAAAGCCCGAUAAGUCCGACGGGCCCACUGGGCGGGCUUUUUAGGCCCGGUUUUUUAUGGGCCUCAAUUUUUAGAGCCCAGCCCAGCCCUAAACCUGGGCGGACCGGGCCGGCCCAUCGGGCCGGGUUGAUUUUGACAGCUCUACUCCUACACAACAAUUUGAAUAAUUCUCCUUGGAAUUCAAAAUCACCAAGGUCCAACAAAAAUCCAAAGCAUGAUUCACGCAAAAGAGACAUAUUAGACUCUGAUAAUAGACCUCUAAUCUCCUCUAAAUACCACAAUCUUGCUCUAUUUCUCAACUCCACUACAUCACAAAAUUGAAAAACAAAGUUCUGUAAAUUACCCUCACUUCAACUGAGCUUUACAAAUAAAACUUACAAAGAAAGCAUUACGACUCAAUUAUGAUGAUUAAUUAGCUUCUAAACUUCCACGAAGUGAUUGUUACUUUUUCAUGAAAUUAAAUUACAUCAAUUUUUUCUCUCUUCUUCCAAGAGAACGUAAAAUUAAAAAGAGAACAAAUAAAAUAGUCAUAGGCAUCUAGAAACAGAUCCAAUCCAACAACAAAUAACAUGUAGUAGUCGACCAUUAAAAAGGAAAAUAAUUUCAGAAAAGACAAAAAAAAGUGAGGGAUAAAUGAAAUGAAAUUUUAAGAAAUGGAAUGCAGAAAAUCCUCUCUAGCUUCAUGCUCUCAUAACCAGGAACCGUUUGCAAACAAAUUCGAAAUCAUUUCCAGUUCUAACAAAGAUACUAUGUACCACUACAAUUUCUCAGCCAUUUUUUCUUUACAAAAACAAAAAUACCAACAACCAAUAUGGGACUUACUAUAAAGUUCAAAGGACCGAAAACAAGAAAAACCACAUAAACAACUUCAAAUAAAUCAAUGAACGACGAAAACAAGAACUAAAAUCUUCCAUACCCAGACAUUUAGAACUUCGAACUUCCAUCGAAAAAGCGAAUGCGACUUCACCUUUCAAAGCUCAAACUUUAAAUUUCAAAACACGCUUCCGCUUCAAAAAUAUUUUCUUCAAAACAUGCUAACUGUUUUCGUGUCUCUGUUGACCAAAACC